rnacentral:sRNA from 1 species
CGGCGGCGGGGCUGGCGCCGCGGCGGCUCCCGGGCCGGGACAGGCCUGGGCACCGGGCGGCAGCGGCGCGGAGCGGGCACGGCGCCUGCAGCCGGGCCCCGGCCCCGGGGGCGCCGCCUCCGCCCGCAGAUUCUUCUGCACGGCUGGCCUGCCACUCCUCCUGCUAUGAUGCCUGGGCAGAUCCCGGACCCUUCGGUGACCGCAGGCUCCCUGCCAGGGCUUGGCCCCCUGACCGGGCUCCCCAGCUCGGCCCUGACUGUGGAGGAGCUGAAAUACGCUGACAUCCGCAACCUCGGGGCCAUGAUUGCACCCUUGCACUUCCUGGAGGUGAAACUGGGCAAGAGGCCCCAGCCCGUGAAAAGUGAGGUCCACUGGCAACAUGGACUCAGAGUUGGGAAACUGAGUCCUCUCCUGGGUGAGGCUCAUCUGGCUGAACAAC